rnacentral:pre_miRNA from 1 species
AUACAAGUCACCUGGGGAUCUUGUCAAAAUGCAGAUUCUGAUUCAGUAGGUCUUGGGUGGGGCCUGAGAUUCUGCAUUUCUAAUAGCUCUCAGGUGAGGUCAAU